UACGUAGGGGGCUAGCGUUGUCCGGAAUCAUUGGGCGUAAAGCGCGUGUAGGCGGCCCGGUAAGUCCGCUGUGAAAGUCGGGGGCUCAACCCUCGAAAGCCGGUGGAUACUGUCGGGCUCGAGUGCGGAAGAGGCGAGUGGAAUUCCUGGUGUAGCGGUGAAAUGCGCAGAUAUCAGGAGGAACACCGGUGGCGAAGGCAGCUCGCUGGGACGUUACUGACGCUGAGACGCGAAAGCGUGGGGAGCAAACAGG
rnacentral:rRNA from 1 species